rnacentral:rRNA from 1 species
CCUACGGGUGGCAGCAGUGAGGAAUAUUGGUCAAUGGCCGGAAGGCUGAACCAGCCAUGCCGCGUGAAGGUCAGUGCCCCAUGGGCGUUAAACUUCUUUUGUGCGGGAGCAAUAAUGGUCACGUGUGGCCAGACGAGAGUACCGUACGAAUAAGCAUCGGCUAACUCCGUGCCAGCAGCCGCGGUAAUACGGGGGAUGCAAGCGUUAUCCGGAUUUAUUGGGUUUAAAGGGUGCGUAGGCUGGGAGGUAAGUCAGCGGUGAAAUGCUCCCGCUCAACGGGGUGAAGUGCCAUUGAUACUGGCUGGCUGGAAUGCGGAUGAGGUAGGAGGAAUGUGUGGUGUAGCGGUGAAAUGCAUAGAUAUCACACAGAACACCGAUUGCGAAGGCAUCUCACGAAGCCGCGAUUGACGCUGAUGCACGAAAGCGUGGGUAUCAAACAGGAUUAGAUACCCGAGUAGUC